rnacentral:misc_RNA from 1 species
GAUGAAGAACGCAGCGAAAUGCGAUAAGUAAUGUGAAUUGCAGAAUUCAGUGAAUCAUCGAAUCUUUGAACGCACCUUGCGCUCCUUGGUAUUCCUUGGAGCAUGCCUGUUUGAGUAUCAUGAAAUCUUCAAAGUCAAACCUUUUGUUAAUUCAAUUGGUUCUGCUUUGGUAUUGGAGGAUUAUUGCAGCUUCACACCUGCUCCUCUUUGUGCAUUAGCUGGAUCUCAGUGUUAUGCUUGGUUCCACUCAGCGUGAUAAGUUAUCUAUCGCGGAGGACACCCUGUUAAAAAGGGGUGGCCAAGGUAAAUGCAGAUGAACCGCUUCUAAUAGUCCAUUGACUUGGACAAUAUCUAAUUUAUGAUCUGAUCUCAAAUCAGGUAGGACUACCCGCUGAACUUAAGCAUAUCAAUAAGCGGAGGA